UACGGAGGGAGCUAGCGUUGUUCGGAAUUACUGGGCGUAAAGCGCACGUAGGCGGCUUUUCAAGUCAGGGGUGAAAUCCCGGGGCUCAACCCCGGAACUGCCCUUGAAACUGGAUGGCUAGAAUCUUGGAGAGGCGAGUGGAAUUCCGAGUGUAGAGGUGAAAUUCGUAGAUAUUCGGAAGAACACCAGUGGCGAAGGCGGCUCACUGGUCCGGUACUGACGCUGAGGUGCGAAAGCGUGGGGAGCAAACAGG
rnacentral:rRNA from 1 species